GCCCAUACCUCGAACGCCGCCAUGCCCUGGAGUUGAGAGAAACAGAGAGCACCGCGCGCGAGAGAGGAAGAAGUGAAGUCGUCGACGUCGCGUCUCGUCCACACCCUCGUUCAAGGAUCCGCUGGUGGUCAAGAAGAUUCGUCGGGGACCACUAAAGCCAUUCAAGGCUUAAGCCUAGCGGGCGGAGAACUUGGCGGCAUUCCUCGAUUUGAAGUUUUGUGCGUGGGGUUGAAGAUUGGCUGUCUUUGGCGAUGUCCGCCAUCGUAGCAUCGGGCGGCGCCGCCAAGCUCUCGGCAUGUGCGGGGGAAUGGUCGGGGAUACCGUUGAUAGCAUCAGGAGCGAUGGAGAUUUGAUCACCAUGUACCGAAUCAGUCUGAUCAAUCUGUACCAUAGAUAUUUCAAUGAAUGCACGGGAAUAGAUCCAAGGUGUUUUAAAUCCUAGCCAUCGAUCGUGGAUCAGAUGUGUCACACCCGAUUUUAGGAGCAAAACGAAUGCAUAGCAUAUGUGUGCUAGGAUCCAUUUUCCACACAUAUGUUGACGUCACAAGUGUAAUAUAUCAAAAGACAAUGUAAUAAAGGCGUAAAAGAGAGUAUAAUAA